AAGACCUUGCACUUUUGGAGCGGCCGAUGUCUGAUUAGCUAGUUGGUGGGGUAAUGGCCUACCAAAGCUUCGAUCAGUAGCUGGUCUGAGAGGACGGCCAGCCACACUGGGACUGAGACACGGUCCAGACUCCUACGGGAGGCAGCAGUGAGGAAUUUUGCGCAAUGGGGGAAACCCUGACGCAGCAACGCCGCGUGAGUGAUGAAGGCCUUCGGGUCGUAAAGCUCUGUCGGGUGGGAAGAACCCGCGUGAUUUUAACAUAAUCAUGCGCUGACGGUACCACCGAAGGAAGCACCGGCUAACUCCGUGCCAGCAGCCGCGGUAAUACGGAGGGUGCAAGCGUUAAUCGGAAUUACUGGGCGUAAAGCGUGCGCAGGUGGUUUUGUAAGUCAGAUGUGAAAGCCCCAGGCUCAACCUGGGAACU
rnacentral:rRNA from 1 species